UACGUAGGCAGCGAGCGUUGUUCGGAAUUACUGGGCGUAAAGAGUGUGUAGGCGGUGCUCCCAGUCUGUUGUGAAAUCUCCCGGCUUAACUGGGAGGGUGCAGCGGAAACUAGAGUGCUAGAGGGUGGGAGAGGUAAGCGGAAUUCCUGGUGUAGCGGUGAAAUGCGUAGAUAUCAGGAGGAACACCUGUGGUGUAGACAGCUUACUGGACCACUUCUGACGCUGAGGCACGAAAGCGUGGGUAUCAAACAGG
rnacentral:rRNA from 1 species